UACAGGGGGGGCAAGCGUUGUUCGGAAUUACUGGCGUAAAGGGCUCGUAGGCUGCCAACUAAGUCACACGUGGAAUCCCCAGGCUUAACCUGGGAACUGCGUGUGAUACUGGAUGGCUUGAAUUCGGGAGAGGGAUGCAGAAUUCCAGGUGUAGCGGUGAAAUGCGUAGAUAUCAGGAGGAACACCUGUGGCGAAAGCGGCUCACUGGACCACAACUGACGCUGAGGCGCGAAAGCUAGGGGAGCAAACAGG
rnacentral:rRNA from 1 species